rnacentral:rRNA from 1 species
UACGAGGGGGGCGAGCGUUGUUCGGAAUUAUUGGGCGUAAAGGGUGCGUAGGCGGUUUGGUAAGUCUUGUGUGAAAUCUCUGGGCUCAACUCAGAGUCUGCACGAGAAACUGCCGGGCUUGAGUGUGGGAGAGGUGAGUGGAAUUCCUGGUGUAGCGGUGGAAUGCGUAGAGAUCUGGAAGAACACCAGUGGCGAAGGCGACUCUUUGGCCUGUAACUGACGCUGAGGCGCGAAAGCGUGGGGAGCAAACAGG